rnacentral:rRNA from 1 species
GCUUACGGCCAUACCACCCUGAACAAGCCUGAUCUCGUCUGAUCUCGGAAGCUAAGCAGCGUCGGGCCUGGUCAGUACUUGGAUGGGAGACCGCCUGGGAAUACCAGGUGCUGUAAGCU